GUGUUUCUUCCUUUAUUUAUUUCAAAUACAAGUAUAGUUAGGAUAAAUUUUGGAGCAAAUUUGAAUGCUCAGAAUGCAGGAAAUGACAUUUCCGGGAGUCAAAUUUCAAAACUUUUCUGGGGGAGACACCCCCAAACACCCCAUUCAUGAGUGGUAUAUUUGCCACACACGUGGCUUUCAGCCAUUGCUAUCGGCCCUCUAAUAUAUUAUCUCACAGAAAGGUCCCUUUUCAAAAAAUGCCCCCCCCCCCCACAGGAAAAUCCUUAAAAAAGGCCCUGCACCUGAAUCCGCAGUAACUGUAUAUUUAUUAUUAACUAAACACCCAAGUAUCUCCCUCGGGGUCACUAGACAGAGAAAAUAAUAAAGAUAGGACAAUUGCGCAUAUUGACGACGCAGUCAUCAGAGCAAGCGCCUUUCACCUCUGAGGUCGUGGCGGUUCGACUCUCGCCACGGACUCAUGUGUGGACUCUUGUGAAAAGAGUCAGUCAACGUUCUGCCGAAAGUCGUGGGUUUUCUCCGGGCUAUCUGGUUUCCUCCCACAGGAAAAGUUGACAGGGUGGGUUAGGAUAAACACAGUUAAGAAAGUAAUAUCACAAUUGUUGUAAAGACAAAAUGGUCUAGGCUAAGUACACACGUAAAACGCCCAGGUUGAUGCAAUAUUGAUGAAAACAGGAUUGAACAAUG